rnacentral:rRNA from 1 species
CGGGGUGAGUAACGCGUGGAAAACCUGCCGUAUACUGGGGGAUAACACUUAGAAAUAGGUGCUAAUACCGCAUAAGCGCACAGCUUCGCAUGAAGCAGUGUGAAAAACUCCGGUGGUAUACGAUGGUUCCGCGUCUGAUUAGCUAGUUGGUGAGGUAAAAGCCUACCAAGGCAACGAUCAGUAGCCGGCCUGAGAGGGUGAACGGCCACAUUGGGACUGAGACACGGCCCAGACUCCUACGGAAGGCAGCAG